UUAUCCCAAGAAAAGCCUCUUGUUUUGUGUGAUUCUGUGCACUUGAAGGACUGCUCUUGGGGGCGCUGGUGCUGAUGAGCCCAUAUGCUGGCUGCAAAUGAGAAAGCCAGCAAAACAGCAGGGGAUUAGUGUUUCCACUGAUGAAUAAAAGCAAGAUCUGAAGCCGCAGGAGAUCCUGCAUCUUCAGAAAAGAAAAUAGAGAAGACAAGCCUGCUUAUUUCAAGUUCUCAGCUCAGCAGUUCACACCCAGGAGUUUUCAUGGGUGGUUCCAUGAACAAACAGAGGCCAAUGUUUCAGGAAGGUCCAUAUGCUUGAGGAAAAGGUAGAUUUUCCAAUUGAUUUUCCAAGGUCCACCAGUGUGCUCUGUCCAAAGUACAGCUGUUAUGCAACAAUGUCUGCCAGGUAUAGAACAGAGAUGAUGCCCUAGAGGCCUGUCCCUUGAUCAUAUUGAAGACAUCUUGAAAAAUAACAGGCUGGGACAUGCUUAACAUAUGAUGAACUCAACUCCCAUGAACAGUUACAGGAAAAUGUUAUUUUAGAAAGAAUUUUUUUUUCCAGUUGCUCUAAGGAGAGUUUGCUUUGAUUUACAACAUUUUUGUGAGAAGAAUGAAGACCCUGAAGACCUAAAUUUGAACUGUAGGAAGAAAUUUAAGUUAGGUGUUUUUAUAAAGGGAUAUUUCUUUUCUUUAUUCCUUCAUUCCCUUUUUCCCUUCUUUCUUUCAUUUUGCAUUUUUUUUAAAACCAGAGGAUAAUUGCUUUAUAGUGAUGUGUUCCUUCUUCCUUCUUUCCUUCCUUUCUAUCUUUUCUUUUCUUUCAGUAGAACUGAUCCUUGAAGAUUGUUGAGGCUGAGAGGGUUUUGUUGGUAGACUAGAGACACUAGAUGAACUUAGAGCACUGUUGUUGAGAAAACUAGAGUAAGGCUGAGAAUGAGUGUAUUCACAUCUAAAACAAAUAUCCACUCAUUGUUGGGGAAAAUUAUGAAGUCUGCAUACAACUAAAUUCAGAUGUACACUAAGAUAGAAAAUAUUCUGUUGUUUGGCAGAAACCAACAAAAUUCUCUAAAGCAAUUAUCCUUCAAUUAAAAAUAAAUCAAUU